rnacentral:rRNA from 1 species
CUCCGGGCCCUCCCGCGAGAAAUCAGGAGUAUUCGGGUUCCGGGGGGAGUAUGGUCGCAAGGCCGAAACUUAAAGGAAUUGACGGAAGGGCACCACCAGGAGUGGAAUCUGCGGCUUAAUUUGACCCAACGCGGGAAAACUCACCAGGUCAGGACACGGUAAGGAUUGACGGACUGAAGGCUCUUUCUCGAUUCCGUGGAAAGUGGUGCAUGGCCGUUUUGGUUGGUGGAUCGAUCCGUCUGGUUAAUUCCGUUAACGAACGAGACCUCGGCACUCCGAAUAGCGCGGCGGACGUCGCGGCCUCCGGGCCGUCUUCCGCACGAGCUUCUUAGAGGGACCGUCCCCCGCCGGGGAAGGAGGUGCGAGGCAACGACAGGUCUGUGAUGCCCUUAGAUGUUCUGGGCCGCACGCGCAUUACACUGACGCGUCCAACGGGUGACUCCCGACCCGAAGGGGCCGGGGAAUCCGCAAGGCGCGUCGUGAUGGGGAUUGAACGUUGCAAUUGUUGUUCACGAACGAGG